rnacentral:rRNA from 1 species
UACGUAGGGUGCAAGCGUUAAUCGGAAUUACUGGGCGUAAAGCGUGCGCAGGCGGUUAUGCAAGACAGAUGUGAAAUCCCCGGGCUCAACCUGGGAACUGCAUUUGUGACUGCAUAGCUUGAGUGCGGCAGAGGGAGAUGGAAUUCCGCGUGUAGCAGUGAAAUGCGUAGAUAUGCGGAGGAACACCGAUGGCGAAGGCAAUCUCCUGGGCCUGCACUGACGCUCAUGCACGAAAGCGUGGGGAGCAAACAGG